rnacentral:rRNA from 1 species
AGAGUUUGAUCCUGGCUCAGGAUUAAUGUUGGUAGUAUGCUUAACACAUGCAAGUCGAGCGGAAAGUGUUAGUAAUAUCACUUUUAGCGGCGAACGAGUGAGUAAUGCUUAUCUUAUUUGCCAAUUAGUGGAGGACGUGUUGGAAAGGUCCUGCAAAGGAUCUUCUAACUAAUACUGCAUACCCUUUGGCUUCGGCCAAAGGAAAGGAAGUCUUCGGACUUUCGCUAAUUGAUAAGGAUAAGUUGUAUUAGCUUGUUGGUGAGGUAAUGGCUCACCAAGGCAAUAAUGCAUAGCCAGGCUGAGAGGCUGAUUGGCCACGAAGGAACUGAGACACGGUCCUUACUCCUACGGGAGGCAGCAGUGAGGAAUUGUUGGCAAUGGGGGAAACCCUGACCACGCAAUACUACGUGAAGGAAGAAGGUCUAUGGAUUGUAAACUUCUUUACUCAGGUAUACUCCUAAAAGCUUGUAUCUGAGCAAAAAGUCACGACUAACUAUGUGCCAGCAGUCGCGGCAAGACAUAGGUGGCAAACAUUAUCCGGAAUUAUUGGGCGUAAAGGGUGCGUAGGCGGCAUGAUAAGUUGCUGGUGGGAAAUCAAGGCUCAACCUUGUGGAAGCUAGCAAUACUGUCAAGCUAGAGGGCAGAAGAGGUUAACGGAACUCUAUGUGGAGCGGUAAAAUGUGUAGAUAUAUAGAAGAACAUCAAUAAAGGCGAAGGCAGUUAACUAGUCUGUCCCUGACGUUGAGGCACGAAAGCGUGGGGAGCAAAACGGAUUAGAUACCCGUGUAGUCCACGCCCUAAACGAUGAGUACUAGAUAUUGGAAAUUAAUUUUCAGUGUCGCUAGUUAACACGUUAAGUACUCCGCCUGGGUAGUACGCUCGCAAGAGUGAAACUCAAAGGAAUUGACGGGGACUCGCACAAGCAGUGGAGCAUGUGGUUUAAUCCGAUACAACGCGUAGAACCUUACCAAGGCUUGACAUGUUCGGCAAAACUAGAGAAACCUAGCGGAGGUUAUCCGAACACAGGUGCUGCAUGGCCGUCGUCAGUUCGUGCCGUGAGGUGUAUGGUUAAGUCCUAUAACGAACGCAACCCUUAGACUUAGUUACCAGCAUUAAGUUGGGGACUCUAGGUCGACUGCCUGAGUAAUCAGGAGGAAGGAGAGGAUGACGUCUGGUCGUCAUGGCCCUUAUGCCUUGGGCGACACACGUGCUACAAUGGUUAGUACAAAGCGUUACCAACCCGCGAGGGGGAGUCAAUCGCAAAAAGCUAACCUCAGUUCGGAUUGGAGGCUGCAACUCGCCUCCAUGAAGUCGGAAUUGCUAGUAAUCGCAAAUCAGCCAUGUUGCGGUGAAUACGUUAUCGAGUCUUGUACACACCGCCCGUCAAAUCACGAAAAUCGGUAGUACCUAAAACCAGUUGGUUAACCCGCAAGGGAUGCGGCUGACAAGGGUAGGAUUGGUAAUCGGGGUUAAGUCGUAACAAGGUAUCCGUAGGGGAAUCUGCGGAUG